rnacentral:rRNA from 1 species
GACGAACGCUGGCGGCGUGCUUAACACAUGCAAGUCGAACGGAAAGGCCCUGCUUUUGUGGGGUGCUCGAGUGGCGAACGGGUGAGUAACACGUGAGUAACCUGCCCUUGACUUUGGGAUAACUUCAGGAAACUGGGGCUAAUACCGGAUAGGAGCUCCUGCUGCAUGGUGGGGGUUGGAAAGUUUCGGCGGUUGGGGAUGGACUCGCGGCUUAUCAGCUUGUUGGUGGGGUAGUGGCUUACCAAGGCUUUGACGGGUAGCCGGCCUGAGAGGGUGACCGGGCACAUUGGGACUGAGAUACGGCCCAGAAGCCAACGGGAGGCAGCAGUGGGGAAUAUGGCACAAUGGGCGGAAGCCUGAUGCAGCAACGCCGCGUGCGGGAUGACGGCCUUCGGGUUGUAAACCGCUUUCGCCGGUGACGAAGCGUGAGUGACGGUAAUGGGUAAAGAAGCACCGGCUAACUACGUG